rnacentral:rRNA from 1 species
GGGGAAUAUUGGACAAUGGGCGAAAGCCUGAUCCAGCCAUGCCGCGUGUGUGAAGAAGGUCUUCGGAUUGUAAAGCACUUUAAGUUGGGAGGAAGGGCUGCAAGUUAAUACCUUGUAGUUUUGACGUUACCAGCAGUAUAAGCACCGGCUAACUCUGUGCCAGCAGCCGCGGUAAUACAGAGGGUGCGAGCGUUAAUCGGAUUUACUGGGCGUAAAGCGUGCGUAGGCGGCUUUUUAAGUCGGAUGUGAAAUCCCCGAGCUUAACUUGGGAAUUGCAUUCGGUACUUGGAAGCUAGAGUAUGGGAGAGGAUGGUAGAAUUCCAGGUGUAGCGGUGAAAUGCGUAGAGAUCUGGAGGAAUAACGAAGGCGAAGGCAGCCAUCUGGCCUAAUACUGACGCUGAGGUACGAAAGCAUGGGGAGCAAACA